ACAGUGCCGGCGUGAACACGAGUGUUAGUGCUUCCUACUCAUCCCACACUAAAUGUGUAUCAACUUGUCGGAGUGUGGGGCGAGUACAGCCCGAUGGACGCUAUCCAGCAUGUUCUUAUUGUAAUGUCUAUCUGCAGUGUAAGGCUGGGCAAACAAGCAUUCGGUAUUGUAAAGAUGGAUACAAGUAUGAAGAGACUCUAGGAAAGUGUGUCUAUGACACUCAGGGAACUUGCAAACCAACUCAGCCGAGUUCUGAUAGCAAUCUGAUUCCUAAGGACACUCCGAAACCAUUAGUUUCUGUCAAGGACGUCCGUGAAGUCUUCAACACUUGCCUGGAAAGCUGUAGGAAAGGAUCCACUGUAGCGGCACCUGGUUACUACGGCCUCUGUGGCUACUGUAAUGUGUUCCUAGAGUGCCAGGCCAACGGCAAACAAAAUAUAAUCUAUUGUAAUGAUGGUCAGCAAUACAACCAGGCCAGUGGUCAGUGUGAAGCAGACAGACGUGGAGAAUGCCAACCAACUCGGCUGAAACCUGAUAGUGAUCUCAUUCCUAAGGAUACUGUUACACCAUUAGUUCCUCCUCCUGUUAAAG
rnacentral:sRNA from 1 species